ensembl:lincRNA
UAGCCUGAAAAACGAGAGAGACCAGAAUAUAGGUGUGUGCCCAUGGUAUGUCAUCUGAAAGGACUGGGUAAGCACGUGGGACGGAUGCUGAGCUGGGAAUUCAUAGAGGGUGUCCAGACUCCAGAGCCAAGAAGUGAGCUGGGCUCCCACCCCAUUCUGAAGUUGCCAAAGAGUGAACUUGACCUGUAUUCUGCUGUAUUACAACGUCCCCCCAUGGAAUCUCUCAUACAUCAUAGAGCUUCCCUCCACCCUUCAGCCUUUUUAGUGCCUCCAACUAGAACAUCUGCAGCAGGGAAGAGGCCAGGAUGGGGUUCUUCACCAGUUCAUUAGAGUUUUCCUCAUCUCCUCCUCACUCAUUCACUGUGUGGCCUCUGAUACUCCAGGGAUAGAGCAGAAAGAAAGGAGAGGUAAUGGACAGAGACCUGGGAAUACUGUUUUAUGCAAUGUGUGUGCGUGUGCGUGUGUGUGCGUGUGCAUGUGUGUGUGCGUGUGUGUGCACGCGCGUGUGUGUGCGUGUGUGCGUGCAUGUGUGUGCGCAUGUGUGCGUGCAUGUGUGUGUGCACGUGUGUGCGUGCAUGUGUGUGUGCGCGCGUGUGUGUGUGUGUUUUGCAGAUAUUUAUAAGCUGAUCCCUCCUUCCUGGAACUCCUCGAAGGCUCCCCAGGUGAGCACAUCCCUAUAUAGGAAACUCUAAUUCAUUGGCUGCCUCCCCUGGCUGCUUUGUUUUUCAGGUGCUCUCACAUUCAUUCCAACCGCCACCUUUUACCCUCAGACACUCUCAGGAUUGAAUCAGAUAGCCCUUUGCAAAUGCCCCAAAUUUCAAGGAUCACACAUCCAUCUUGGUAAUUAGUUCCCUUGAAGUUCCACACUUAGUUUAAGGUGAAAAAGCAGAAGGCCGUCCUCUCCCUGUGACAAUCAAGAGUUUUCUGCACACCUGCAGCCCUCUCUGAAGCAGCCCUUCUAGUCCCCAGGCUCUGAUGUCCCCUAUUCAUAUGGUGCGCUAACUCUGCUAUGACCAUCACUGGUGGGCCAUUCCAUUUGCAAGACCAGCACUUCUGUGGUGUUUUAGAAUCCAUUUUUUUUUUUUGUUCUUAGCAUUUGUAACUUCUACUGAAUCUUUAAGACCACAAGAAUAGCCACAUUUUAUACCCUACUGUAAACAAAUUUCCAGUAGAAGUCAGAUAAGUGCAUAUAUAAGAAUUCAUAUACAUGUUGGCUUUAAUCCUGUUUCACUUAUGCAGAUUUUACCUCCACCCAUUAACAGAACACCAUAAGUUUAUUAUCAAAUUUUGAGAGGUAUUACCUAGAAAUCUAUACCAGCACAAGUUUAUGGUAUUAUUUGCCUGGGAAAUAAGAAAAUAGCAGUUCAGCAGCUGAGAGGCAGUGUGUAGCACAGAGACUAAAUGCAUCGAUUACUCAUCCCUCCCUUUGUUGAAUUUUAUCACUGUAAGCCUAUAUCUAUAGAUCAAGAAAAUCCAUUCAAUCUUUCUGUGUUUCAUUUUUCAUCAAGUGGUAAUAAUAAUAAUUGUACCUACCUUACAGGUGGUUAUAAAGAUUAAUGAAGAUAAUAUAUAUGUGCUACUUAGAACACUGUAAUUAAAAAAAUGCUCAAUAAAUGUUAGCUAUUACUGGCUUAGGAUUUGGGUAAAACACACACAGAGGCACACACACACGAAGUAAAACCAUUUCUGUACAGUUGGUGAUUAAUUUUAGUCAAUCAGUUAAGCAACUGUUUACAAGCUUCUCUGUGCCAGAGUAUUAUGCCAAGCACCGGAAUACUGGGAAGUGUGGGUGUGGGUGGAGAAAAGCAAUUAAGCAAGACUCACUAGUGUAGUAGGAGAAACAACUAUCAGGAGAGUCUCUUGAGAUAUUUAAGGUCCAAGGAGACUCAUAUUGUGAAAUAGUGCAAAUCCAAACAGAAUGAGGUGGUGUUCACCCCUCAAGUUGGCAAAAAUGUUAAAGUUUGAGAAUACCCAUUGCUGGAAAUGAUGUGAGGAAAACACACAUUCUCCAUAUAUAAUCAAUAAAGGUAGACAUUUAUCAACUUUUAUGGAAGGUAUUGGAAAACAUCUACAAAGGGUGAGAUACGUGUGUAAGGAUGAUGGCUGCACUGUAGUCAAGUAUAGGCCGAGGUACACAUCUGGAAUAGCAUGACACAAUGAGAUUGGAGCGCAGGUGCACAAUCCCAUGCAUUUUAUAAUCACAGUUAUGUAGCCAUAACAUGGGAGGGCUCAUCACCUGGCUCUGAGCCAGUAUUGUGUGUGACAUGCAUAAAUGCAGCACUGACAGUGUGAGUGAGCUGCUAAAUAAAGCCAUGUCCCCAUCUACCUGUGAUCUCUUGAGUGUUCUUUCAGCUGCCCACCCCUUGCCCGCUGACUCCCCUGGAACCUAACAAUGUG